rnacentral:lncRNA from 1 species
CCUAUGGCACCCUAUGGCACCCUAUAGCACCUUAAACCACUCUAUAGCAACCUAUAGCACCCUAUGGCACACUAUAUCACACUAUAGCACCCAAUGGCACCCUAUAGCACCUUAUAGCACCCUAUAGCAGCACCCUAUAGCACCCUAUAGCACCCUAUAACACCCUAUACCACCUUAUAGCACCCUAUGGCACCCUAUGGUACCCUAUAGCAGCUUAUAGCACCUUAUAGCACCCUAUAGCACCCUACGGUACCCUAUAGCACGCUAUAACACCCUAUAGCACUCUAUAGUACCUUAUAGCACCCUAUAGCACCUUAUAGCACCCUAUAGCACCCUAUAGUAUGUUAUAGCACCGUAUAGCACCCUAUGGCAUCCUAUAGCACCCUAUAGCACUCUAUAGUAACUUAUAGCACCUUAUAGCACCCUAUAGUACUCUAUAGUACCUUAUAGCACCCUAUGGCACCCUAUAGCACCCUAUGGCACUCUAUACCACCUUAUAGCACCCUAUAGCACCCCAUUGCCCCCCCCAUUCAUCCCCUUAAGCCCCGCCCCUUUGCUCCCAUGAGGCCACGCCCACAUUUCAUCAUCCUCCAAUCCCCAUCGAGCCUCCAAUGAAUGGGAGGGGGCGUGGCCAACACUGACCCCGCCCACUCCGUCUUAGCCCCGCCCCUCACCUGCACCGGUCCCCAUAGAACCGGAAGAGGCGGAACCGGAAGUUGAGCAUCCGGUCACAUGACCGCGGACGCUUCCCCGAGGCCUACAGGAACACGACUGGCCACAACCGGAAGUCCCCCCCUCUUUUAUACCGUGACGUACGUGGUGGGCGUGGCCACGCGUUGACGUCACCACGCACACCCCUCACGCCGCGACUCCCCCCCGCCGCCAGGGGGCAGCGCCACUUCCGGCCCUGCGCGCGCCUACCCGGAAGUGCGUCAUCACCAUGGAGCGGCGGGAGGCGGGAGCGGCCGGCGCAUAGGCACCACCAUGGGCCGACGCCCCCCGUGAGCCCCCCCCGCGUAGGCCUCGUUGUGGGGGUGGGGGUGGGGGGGGGGAGGGGAGGGAGGUUCGGACGCCCCCUCCCCCCCCCCCUGCCCCUCCCCCCUCCGCUGAGGAGACCCCAGAGGAGCCGAGAGGAAGGUAGCGGGAGGGGAGGGAGGGGGAGAGAGGGGGGAGGGGGGAUAGAGGGGGGGGAUGGAGGGGGGAGGGGAGGGGGAUGUGGGGGGGGAUAAAGGGGGGAGGGGGAGA